rnacentral:rRNA from 1 species
AGUGAACGCUGGCGGUAGGCCUAACACAUGCAAGUCGAACGGCAGCACAGUAAGAGCUUGCUCUUACGGGUGGCGAGUGGCGGACGGGUGAGGAAUACAUCGGAAUCUACUUUUUCGUGGGGGAUAACGUAGGGAAACUUACGCUAAUACCGCAUACGACCUACGGGUGAAAGCAGGGGAUCUUCGGACCUUGCGCGAUUGAAUGAGCCGAUGUCGGAUUAGCUAGUUGGCGGGGUAAAGGCCCACCAAGGCGACGAUACGUAGCUGGUCUGAGAGGAUGAUCAGCCACACUGGAACUGAGACACGGUCCAGACUCCUACGGGAGGCAGCAGUGGGGAAUAUUGGACAAUGGGCGAAAGCCUGAUCCAGCAAUACCGCGUGGGUGAAGAAGGCCUUCGGGUUGUAAAGCCCUUUUGUUGGGAAAGAAAAGCAGCAGGUUAAUACCCCGCUGUUCUGACGGUACCCAAAGAAUAAGCACCGGCUAACUUCGUG